rnacentral:rRNA from 1 species
GAGUUUGAUCCUGGCUCAGAUUGAACGCUGGCGGCAUGCCUUACACAUGCAAGUCGAACGGCAGCACGGGAGCUUGCUCCUGGUGGCGAGUGGCGAACGGGUGAGUAAUGCAUCGGAACGUAUCCUGGAGUGGGGGAUAACGUAGCGAAAGUUACGCUAAUACCGCAUAUUCUGUGAGCAGGAAAGCGGGGGACCUUCGGGCCUCGCGCUCUUGGAGCGGCCGAUGUCGGAUUAGCUAGUUAGGUGAGGUAAAGGCUCACCAAGGCGACGAUCCGUAGCAGGUCUGAGAGGAUGAUCUGCCACACUGGAACUGAGACACGGUCCAGACUCCUACGGGAGGCAGCAGUGGGGAAUUUUGGACAAUGGGGGCAACCCUGAUCCAGCCAUGCCGCGUGAGUGAAGAAGGCCUCGG